UGUGCAGAAAGGUACCGCUAUGCUAUGCACUAGCCCGUGUUGUCAAUAGGGUACAAAGGUUAUGGAGUAAAUUAUGCUUGAGCUUCUAAACUGAAAGCAACGUCAUUUCUACAUUCAGAGAAAGGAUUGUGCGUGAGAGAUGUUAAGUGCUUUGGCAGUGUUUUUAUAAGAGGAUAUUGUCCAUGUUGGAGCAGUCAUGUCAUGCAGAUCAAGACUUUCGAUGCUCUUGUGUCUUAUACUUUUCCCAAGAGGUCUCGCCUUAGUUCUUAUUGGUAAGCCAGCCAGUCAAAGUUUUUACAACGAUCCCAACCUUUCACCGGACAAAGCAAUAGAUGGAGAUGUCAACACAAUUCAACACACAUUAGGAUGCACUGGGGAGCAGUGGUGGAUGGUAGAUCUCCAAGCAAUCUACUGCUUGACGAAAAUCACUAUAGUCAACAGACGAGACCA